rnacentral:misc_RNA from 1 species
GUUCAAUCGUGCAAGGUGGACAGUUCCUAUUACCCAAACUAAUAAAAAGAAAUAGAGAGGAUUAGCUGGUGAACCUUUUUCAUUGGAACUGCUCGAUUAUCCGAAAUCCCAUGGUCCCUACUCGGACAAGUGAGAUUCCACUGUAUUACCUAUCUUUAUAGUCGGACGAUAUGCGUGUGCAACAAAAUUUCCUAUCUGUGGUCGGCAGGAUAUAUGAAGAUAAGAGCAGCAUGGGAGAACCGAGAUUAUUUUACAGACUCGGUUUCUAUGAAAUUGCAGUAUAAGAAAGAAAAGGAGAAGUGUGUAUCAAAUUUAACAAAUUGAAUUCUUCCGUCAUCAUCUGAGAUAACUGUGAUCGUGCAAGUUUUCCUGGAGCUUAAUAAUUCUGUCGACUGAAUGGUGCUUCUUUGACCGGACUGAUUAUAAUUACGGUGGCACAGCUGGUUUUAAUAUUCUAUAUCUUAAUUCGCUUAUUUGGAGCUUGAUUGAAGAAAAACUCCGGA